rnacentral:rRNA from 1 species
CAGACGAGGAGCUUGCUCCUCUGACGUUAGCGGCGGACGGGUGAGUAACACGUGGAUAACCUACCUAUAAGACUGGGAUAACUUCGGGAAACCGGAGCUAAUACCGGAUAAUAUAUUGAACCGCAUGGUUCAAUAGUGAAAGACGGUUUUGCUGUCACUUAUGGAUGGAUCCGCGCCGCAUUAGCUAGUUGGUAAGGUAACGGCUUACCAAGGCGACGAUGCGUAGCCGAACUGAGAGGGUGAUCGGCCACACUGGAACUGAGACACGGUCCAGACUCCUACGGGAGGCAGCAGUAGGGAAUCUUCCGCAAUGGGCGAAAGCCUGACGGAGCAACGCCGCGUGAGUGAUGAAGGUCUUCGGAUCGUAAAACUCUGUUAUUAGGGAAGAACAAAUGUGUAAGUAACUAUGCACGUCUUGACGGUACCUAAUCAGAAAGCCACGGCUAACUACGUGCCAGCAGCCGCGGUAAUACGUAGGUGGCAAGCGUUAUCCGGAAUUAUUGGGCGUAAAGCGCGCGUAGGCGGUUUUUAAGUCUGAUGUGAAAGCCCACGGCUCAACCGUGGAGGGUCAUUGGAAACUGGAAAACUUGAGUGCAGAAGAGGAAAGUGGAAUUCCAUGUGUAGCGGUGAAAUGCGCAGAGAUAUGGAGGAACACCAGUGGCGAAGGCGACUUUCUGGUCUGUAACUGACGCUGAUGUGCGAAAGCGUGGGGAUCAAACA